UACAGAGGGUGCGAGCGUUGUCCGGAAUCACUGGGCGUAAAAGGCGCGUAGGCGGCUUGGUAAGUAGGGGGUGAAAUCUUGCGGCUCAACUGCAAGGCUGCCUCCUAAACUGCCUGGCUGGAGCACGGUAGAGGCAGAUGGAAUUCCCGGUGUAGCGGUGGAAUGCGUAGAGAUCGGCAGGAACACCCAGGGGGAAACCAGUCGACUGGGCAUCUACUGACGCUGAGGUGCGAGAGCGUGGGGAGCGAACCGG
rnacentral:rRNA from 1 species